GUAAACUUGCACUUCAAGGUUCAUUUUGGUUUUCUUCAAUACUCAACUAUGGGAAUUUUCCUGUGGGAUGAGGACUGGGGAAGACCUCGAACCAUGUCAGGUCCCAUAGCCUAUGGUCUCUGGAGAAUCAGCUUUGUGGAAGACUCCUUUGUAUUCUGUAACCACAAAAUUCUGUGCACCAUCAGUGGAGUAACAACAUAUUGCUAAGAAGUGAACUCCUUGCUUGAAGAGACUUCGUAACUUUUUUAGAAGAGAAUUGCCUCCAAUUUCAGUCAGAUUCAUUAAUUUACCUUGUGAUUUUCAAAUGACUCAUAUUUCUUUUAGUAAAACAGACUAAAGACCAUAACAUCAAAUGCCUGAGUAGGUAUAGUUUCCUGUUCCAAGUCCCUCUGGAAAUCCUGGAAACACAAGAACUGUUCAAAAUGUUGUCAUCUUUUCAUGGCAACAUCAUUAGCUGAAGUUUCUCCAUUUUAACAGUCCACUGCCUUCACACCUGAUUUAGAAAGCAGUGGGUGAAGAGCAGAUUCAUUCAUACACUGCCCAUGCAGCUCAGACUGCCAUGUCACUCACACACCAUGGUCAUUUCCCUUUAUUUCUUGCAUUUUAGGAGUUCUGAGCAUAGGUGAAGUACUGUUACAAUGCCAAAGAGUAAUUGUAUUUUAGGUGCUAUUUCAUGGCAGCAGAGAUAAUUCAAACCUCAGGUUGAUUCCAGGUUUCAAAUAUCAGAAAGCUGGAGAUGGUCAGUUCAAGGGUUCAAAACUUACCACAAGACUCACACUGGGCAAAUGUUAAGUCCAGGGAUUUGCCCAUAAUUAAUUUUUUUUAGUGCAAGAGAAAUUAACUCAUAUGGAAAACUACUGUAAAAGAAAAUUUGACAAAGAUGAUGCCACGGUAACUUUUGCUCUCCUGAGAUAUUACAACCUGUGCAAGACAAUUUAUGAAAUAGAUAAUGAGCGUUUGAAAAGCAGUGGUUAAUUACACUUUAGAUAACAACCUCAAUGAGCCAGCUGUCAGGAAAGUGAUGGAUUCAGCUUCUAUUCUAUGUUUACCUGUAGAAAACUCUGCUGAGACCCAAGUAGGAUACUCACAUCUCUCUCUAGACAGAAAGUUCAUGAUAACAGGGGAUUUGAAGAGACAGAAGAUUGAUUUUCAUGAAAAGAUGAACUAGUCAUAUUUCUUUUUACUUUUAUCACAUAGUUGAACGGUUUAACUUUUGAAGAAUGUAAAUAAAUUUAUGUUGAACGCU
rnacentral:lncRNA from 1 species